rnacentral:rRNA from 1 species
CUCGUAGGCGGCCAACUAAGUCAGACGUGAAAUCCCUCGGCUUAACCGGGGAACUGCGUCUGAUACUGGAUGGCUUGAAUCCGGGAGAGGGAUGUGGAAUUCCAGGUGUAGCGGUGAGAUGCGUAGAUAUCUGGAGGAACACCGGUGGCGAAGGCGGCAUCCUGGACCGGUAUUGACGCUGAGUGAGCGAAAGCCAGGGAGCAAACG